GCUGACAGCCGCUGACGACGACGAUCGACGAGCCGAUUUUUGUUUUGUUUGUAGUGAUUUGUGUUAAUUGAGUUUUUAUAAUAUACUGUUUGUGAAAUAGUAAAUCUUUUUUAUUUAUUCUCCAGUUUAGAAACUUUUCAUGCAUACCAUCAUACUAAUAUGUGUUGAAUUUGUUGUGUGAUCUGAAUAAAUUGUAUUUACAUCAUGAUAACCUCAAACUUGUUCGAAAUAGACCCGGAUAAACUAUUUGAAACAUCUAGUAUUGAGGAGAUUCAAAAAGUUCAGAUUUCAAUUCAACAUGAAAUUGAAAGAAAAAGGGAAGAGCUUCGUACUAUGGUUGGGGAACGAUACAGAGACUUGAUCGAGGCAGCCGAUACAAUAGCAGAAAUGAAAGACAUUUCUCUAAACGUUAUCGAAGAUAUCAAUAAAGUCAGUGCUUCCACCGAAGAAAUGCAUCAGAAAUUUAUUCUUAGACAAGAUGUAAGAAGAUUCAAAAAGUUAUCUUUUGAAGGUAUUAAUACUAGUAAGUUAGAUCAGACAGCUGUACAAAUGAAAGUUCUUAUAAGUUUACCAGAACAGAUAUGGACGUUUAUUGAUACUGAAGAUUAUGCUAAAGCUUCACAGCUUUACCUUUUGGCUAGGCAUUUCAAAACUGGGUUAGAAGUGCAAAAGUUUCAGUGUCUACUGCUAGAUCAUCAAUGGGAAAUUAUUGCUCAGUUUAAGGAAAAUAUAUUGAGUGCAACCAAAGAUAUGUUGAAGCAACAGACACUUUCCUCAGAAUCAGCGUGUAACUGCUUUCUUGCUAUUAUGAUGCUUGAAAAUCUUGAUUCUAAAGGAUUAGUUGCUAAAUUUCUUGAGUUGAGAUCGGCAGCAUUACACGAGCUUCUAAGUGUAGGAGAUUCAUUUGAAGAUGCUGCUGCAAUAAAAAAGAGAUUUGUGGCUAGCCAUUCGCUCAUCAUAUCUACCGCUCUUGUCCUGUGUUCGUGUUUUAUUGAAAGUGACAUCAACAACCAUGAUGGUUUGUUGUAUCAAAACGCAAGGGAAAUAACAGGCAGAGAUGCAAAGCCAAUAAUUUCACUCCUCCCAGAAAUCCAAUCGGACUUCCUAUCAGCAGUAACAGUCCAUAGGAUUUUACCAGACCUGGCGUUGGAUCCUGUUCCACCGGGAGAAAUGGCAGCUGCUUUUGAAGGAUGGUUGUCUCAAGUGCGUGUGUUUGUGCAACAGUCUGGUCAUGAUCUACUCGAAAAGCUGAACACUUUGAGAUCGCUGCAGGGAUUAAGGAAAGCAUACCAGGGGCCUUCAGUUGAAUGGAACCUAGCUCUGCAGAGACUGAUGCAACCACCCAAUGUGGAUCUGUGGACGACCGUCUACUGUCCGCUGAUAGUGGAACGAGCCAGGGCUCUGAUAUCGCUGCACUGGAGCAUGGGCCUCCAACACAUCACCACCGAAACCAUCCAGUUGGUCAAUUCUGCUGACGAUAGCAAAUGUCCUGAGACAGACCUUCGCUGGCAUGUCUGGAAGGAGGAGCCUCAACUCGAUCUGACGUCCGAUGAAAACGACAAGAAUAACGUUUGGUGGCUGAAGUCGCAAGGCGUUUCGCCGCGUGUGGCCGACAUGUGUCGCGUGCUAGAGGACAGACUGCAACUGCUAACGGGUGACCUGGCCGCCCUCUGCCCCGGGGAGACAGAGGAGGUUGAUGCCACCGUACUCAGUGACCACAGUGCGUUGCGCGCCCAUCAGCAGCAAGUCUGUCUUGACUUUGUCUCCAAGUUGACAGAGUUUGUACGUGAUGAGAUAAACAAGAGUGAGAAGGAAGCAAUACCUUCUCUAUACGCUCGUUAUCUGCAAAUAAUUUCCAAACUCUGCCCAUCGUUACAGAAAUGUUUGACUGGCUUGGAUUUCAAGACUAACUCAUGGCAACAUGUGUGCUCCAUGCUGAAUGAGAACACAGAAUUCGCGUGGACAAUCUGGCAACAGCGAGUUAUAACGAAAUUGAAACCUGUCAUCCAAACAGCUCUUGUGCCUCCAACACAACUCAGCGAUCUUCUCCACAUGAUACCUCAAUGGAAUGUAGUUGAGGUGGAGGAAAUAGGAGAAAGCCAGCAAAAGAUCAAGUCGCAACUCAAUGUACCCUCUUCCGCGUCGCUUCAGUUGCUUCAAGUUCUCGCACAGAUCAACACGACCUUGAGUCGAGCAUUCAUUCCUCUGUAUGCUACCGAGCUUGUUAUAAAGAACGUGGUCCAGGAAAUAAUUCAGUUGUAUGACCAGUGCGAGAUACUCUGUCAAGCUCAUGCUCUCCAACAUCUGUUUGACCUGAAAUAUAUUUCUGCACUAAUGGUGUCGCCUGAGUAUAAGUCUCUGCAGACAGUCUGCCGAGAAUCUAUUGAGAAAAUAGAGAGAUCGAUUGAUCCAUUUGAUCUGGACGUGUUUGCUCCUUACAUCCAGGACAAUGUCAAGAAGUCUCUUAGAGAAACUCAGUUGAUGUUCGGUGUGCUUUGUCGACCGCGUAUGCAGACGUCAGCAGUGCAGCCAACACAGCAGAGCUCUGCGGCCAAUGAGGACCCCAGCAUCCUGGCCCUCAGCCAAUCAGGGCCCAGCGUCUGGUUCAGACUGUUGCCUGUGACUGCACCAGCCGGCACCAGAGCUAUCAACGCACCCAAAAAGGCUGGGAAGACAGGUAUCUCGACUACACCUGUUGGAGCCAACCCAGAAUCUGAUGUGUCAGCAAAAACCACUCUGACCAACGCAGCAACGUCAUUUUUUGGAUCAGUUACUGCUGACUGGUUUGGUUCGUCAUAAAAGCAAAGAACCGCUGAGAAGAAACAUUCUUUUUUGGAGGAAACUGUUGCUGUAAUAUAUGUUUCAUUUCUUCAUCAUCACCAUCAAAGGAUUGUACUGGUUCUGGAAAAUAUUCAGAUUCGACUAUCAGGAUGUGAUUUUAACAUCAAAUCUUCCAAUCGUAUCUAUCCACUGUUUCUCAUCGUGUUCACUACGCAUUCUACAUUGACUGUGAUGAAUCAAUAUCAAUUACUCAUCAAUUUAGAGCAACUCCUUGUCUUGAGUUGAACUACUUACAGAGAUGUAUUUCAUUCAUUUGUAUGCUAUGACAAUAGAAGUUAUUGAUGAGAAAAAAGAAAGUUACCAAAGAAUAGGGCAAAUGAAAAUUGUUAAAGUGUUGUUCUAAUUAAAUAUGAAAUAAAUGUAGAAAAGAAAUUCAAAGCCUGAUAAAUAUCAAGCAAUAAUCCAUCUGUUUCGUCUCAUUGGUCUUAGCACCAUAGCACGGAGUAAUGAACAACGAAUGAAUGUUGUUUCUUUUUUCUGUGGUCAUAGCCAGUACAUUCAGCGUAAAGUCUUUGAAGUUUUCCCUCAAGUUCGGGAAUACAAGAAUUUUUAUUGAAGGCCUUGAUACCAGUAGCUUCUGACACUCGCAUCACAACUGAGACCGGCUUAAAUAUUGGUAAGGUAACUAAAGUUUGAGAAAAACUUUAACCUUGUGAUGAGAAGCUUCGAAGCUUGAUUAAAAUAUGAUUUGGAGGUAACCAUAAGAAAAUAAAUUGUAGCAAGUUUACAUAGAAAAAAGUUGAUCGCAUUUAAAUAUCCUAAUAUCUACCUACUGUAUUUGAAUACUGUCUUAUUAGAAAUACUCAAUUUUUAUAAGCGUGAUGAAAGUAGGUAUCUUAUUCUAAAUUGAGGAAUUGAUCAGAACAUAAGGUUUGAAUGAUCUGUUAUAUUGGCAGUGUUAAAAAUAUGUGAUACGGUAAUUAAAUUUCAACAACUUUAUAAAAUGAAAGAUAUCACGAUUUAAUUACAAUAAAAUUACAAAUAUAUUAAUAAUAUUUAGGCUAUCUAUUGUAAAAAAAUCAUUUUCAACAGUGUUUACAGACGUUUACUGUAAAUUAUAAUAGAACAAAUAUAAUUAUCUUCAUUUCUGCUUUUCAUUAUGCUAACAUGCAAGAAAGUCCAUGAUAAGAAUAAGAUUAAAUGGUAUUUUUAUUAAUCGUAUGGGCGAGCAUCUUAUCCAAUUAUAAUUAUUUAGAGCAAGUUUGUAAAAAAUUCAACAAGAGAUAUUGUUUCAUUAGAAACAUAGGUAGGCCUAUGAAAUAGAAAUAGAAAUAUUUUAAUUUUGAGCAAAAGCUUGUUGUUCAAAUAGAUAAUUUCAAGGUAUUAAACUUAGAUUUUAAAAACACUUAUGGAGUGAAAAUGCAACAGAGAUAAUUAUUGUUUUCAUUGACCUAUUCUCAACAUUUUUAAAUCCAAGAAUUACUUAUUACUGUGUGAGGAUUUAUACAUUCUUGGAUUCAUCAUGUAAAUUUAGUUGAAAUUAAAACAUACAUUGAGAAUGCAAAUUUGAUUGUUUAGCUCAGGAAUAUUAACUUGAAAUAAAAUUAAUAGUGAUAGUACCGGAGGAGUACUAGUAAGUAAUUAGUAGAUAUUUAAAAUAAAUUGAAGUACAAAAACAUGAAUUCCAAAAUUAUCUGCUUCUUUACAUGCAUAGUAAGAUAAUAAUUUGAAUCUGGAUUCUCAUUAAAUUCUCAUUUUAUCAGUAUCAGUUUAUGUGUUCCCACUCAGCCUAGCCAAGCUAGUAUGAAUCGUCCCAUUAGAAAGCAUGAGAAUUAUAUUUUCACUCUUCAGCGUUAUAGAUAGAUUACAAGUGUAGCAUGAGACUGACUUUGAAUUAUAGUCAUGAAUAUUGGGUUGAAAAACCUCACCGUGGAUUUCUCAAUUUUCAUAGAAAAUUGAUUCCUUAGAUAAACAUUAUAUUUAUAUUUCCUACGACUGUAUUGGUUUUAAAGUUUAAAAACUAAUGAAACGAAACAUACUAACUAUUCAAAUAACAUUUAUUUUCAAAUCAUGGACAUUUUAGAAAAAUAAAUUAUUAACAAACGAGAAUACAUUAGUAUAUUGAAAUGCAACAAAUGAAUGCAUAACGUUACAGAAAUACAAUGAUUGAGUUCAUUAUUGAUUGCCUUAUUCUAAUUAUCGUCUUAGAUGAUUAAAAACGAAAUUUUGCAUCAAGUAGUCACCGAAAAAUAUAUGCGUCCAUUCUUUGAUUUUCAGAAGUUACAUAAAAAUUAAUUCCCGAUAGUUUGGUGAAUCUGUAUUGUUUGCUAUCAUCUUUGACUCGAAUUUAGAAUUUUGAAACUAUAAUUUUUUUAAGGAAUUUCGAAGGCAAUUGUUGAAUUUUUCAUAACAAUUCUAUAAUAGAUUCGACUUGUAUUUCUUAUAUAAAUCAAUCAUAACUCAGAAAUACAAGCCGAAUCUAUAAUAGAAUUAUUAUUAACAAUUUUCUCGUCUUGUAAAACACAGAUCUCAAUAAAUAGAAGGAAUUAUGUUUUGCUACACAUUAUUAUGUGAGUGUAAAUUUCGUGAUUCAUAACAACACUGUGAUGUUGAGAGGAAGGGGCUUUGCUUUAUAUAACCAUAGAAGAAUAAAGAUAGAGAACUACCUAUGUUUUCUCUUAUUAUAAUACUGAAUCUAAUGGACAACAUUGACUUUUUAUCAAAAUUUGGAAGAGAAAUUGUAUAGGCUCAGCCUACUUUUUCCUCCACAUUCAUAAUUAUAUUAUGAUUAUUGUGUUUUGUAAAAUAAAUCAAUGAAAUUGACAGAAAAACAAGAUUUUUUAUGGCAUGGUUAUACGUUGUUUGCACUGUACGUGUGCAUUCCCUCCACCAAUGAAAGCCAUACUUGUGUAAUAAUUUUCAAGAGAUUUAUGCAAAACUUAAUAUAUUCACUGAGACUGUUAUAUUGAGUUAAUUUAGUUGCAAUACCGUUCCUGUGAACGGGAUUGAAAGCAAAUUACGUUAAUUGGUUCAAAAAUGGAAAAACUAUUUAUUGAUGGCAAAUUAUUGGCAAGUGAAGAAGAUUGAUAGUGCCAUUUCUUAGCAGUAUCUUUUGACAGAACUUCUUUUAUUAGAGUGCUAGAUAUAGUAAAUUUGAACACGCGACGCUUUGCUACUAGAUGGAACCUGUUCAGCGCAAAGUUAAAUUGAAAAAAACUGACAUUCGUUAUAUUUAUGAAUAUUGUCUAUUCAAGUUUCAGAUCAAGGAUGCAUUAAUGAGCUUACAUUCAUCGAUAGCAUUUUUGAUGUAACUAAGAACAACAACAUUUGAUGAUUUUUAGAAGCUAGCCUGUGUAUUUUAUUUUUUACUAAAGUUUUAAUUAAUGGGAAGUGAGUUUCCAAUAAAUUUUAUUCGGAUUGAUGAUUGUUUCUAGUAGGUGAUGGAUGUUUCAAUUGCAUUCAAUGCAUUUAAGGGCUCAUUAGAUAAGUCAAGAAACUACUAAUGAAAAAAGCCUGCUCAGAUUCUCAGAACCCUUGAAUGUAAUGUUUUCGUUGCGAAAAAA